rnacentral:rRNA from 1 species
CUUUACUGUAGCCUGGUAUUGGGUUCGGGCUUUGACUGCGCAGGAUAGGUGGGAGACUAUGAAGCUGCCCUUGUGGGGGCAGUGGAGUCAUCAGUGAGAUACCACUCUGUCAAGGCUAGAAUUCUAACCGUCUGCCGUUAUCCGGCGACGGAACAGUAUCAGGUGGGCAGUUUGACUGGGGCGGUCGCCUCCUAAAUGGUAACGGAGGCGCGCAAAGGCUCCCUCAGGCUGGUUGGAAAUCAGCCGAAGAGUGUAAAGGCAGAAGGGAGCUUGACUGCAAGAGCAACAACUCAAGCAGGGACGAAAGUCGGCCUUAGUGAUCCGACGGCACGGAGUGGAAGGGCCGUCGCUAAACGGAUAAAAGUUA